UACAGAGACUGCAAGCGUUAUUCGGAUUCACUGGGCGUAAAGGGUGCGCAGGCGGUUGUGUGUGUCCGGCGUGAAAGCCCGGGGCUUAACCCCGGAAUUGCGCCUGAAACUACAUGACUAGAGCAUUGGAGAGGGUAGCGGAAUUCACGGUGUAGCAGUGAAAUGCGUAGAUAUCGUGAGGAACACCAGAGGCGAAGGCGGCUACCUGGACAAUUGCUGACGCUCAGGCACGAAAGCGUGGGGAGCAAAAGGG
rnacentral:rRNA from 1 species